CAUAGGGACAGCCGUGUAGUGAUUCCAUUGGCGCUGGCCACAGUCCCUAGGGGAGUCCUCAGGUGUUUUGCAAGCUCACUCCAGUGCUGGAUCCAAGUAACUAUAUUACAGCUGCAUAAUGUCCUGCUGGUCCUUCUGAAGACGAGAGCUACUUUGCAUAUCCAUAGGUUUUGUUGGAACGGUCUAGUCACAAUUCUGAGUUAACUGUCAACGAGAAGCUGUGCCAGGACCUAAAACGGCAGAUAAAAACAACUCUGAAAAGAGUGGGCCGGAAGACCUCCCCAGUGAUGCUUAAUUUAAGAAGGUUCAAGUGGGGCAACGCAGAAAAAGCCAAUUUUCAGUGCGGUACGAGCAGAGGAAGUCAGAUCUACUUCUAUUCUGGAUGUUCUUACAAAUUAGAGGCUUCAUUUACUGUGCAUGGAGAGAGCAGAUUUCUGAGGUGAGGCAAUCAUGAGGCGGAAAAUUAUCAUUGGCAAUAUGAGGAUAUUUCACGUUACAGAAAUGAAGACAGACAUCAGAACAUGAAGAAAUAAAGCCAAAGUAAACUCAAUCCAGCAUGGUGUUAGUGCAGUGUCCUUCUGAUGGAUGGGUCACUAAUCGAAAGACACAGGUUCAUUUAU